GCUCGUGCUGAGGGCCUGUUUUCUAAGCUUCACACUAGAGACUUGUUCAUUACUCUUUUGUCUAAGGGAAAGUACCUGGGCCUAGGUCAGAGAGUGCCAUGUGGCUACACACAUUGACAUUCCCAUUUUCCAUAUUAAGUCUCCAAGAAGCUAAUAGGCAUAGCAGGAGCAGUAUGGUGAAGGGAUGUCACCCUCAGCUCUUCUAGUUACACAGGCAGUGCAGUGGACCUUCCUGCAUGCACCAACCACACAGGGCUUAUUCUUAGUGUGGC
rnacentral:RNase_MRP_RNA from 1 species